UACGGAGGGUGCAAGCGUUAUCCGGAUUUACUGGGUUUAAAGGGUGUGUAGGCGGGCUUUUAAGUCAGUGGUGAAAUCUCACAGCUUAACUGUGAAACUGCAUUGGAUACUAUCCGGCUCGAGGAAUGGAGGGGAGACUGGAAUACUUGGUGUAGCAGUGAAAUGCGUAGAUAUCAAGUGGAACACCAGUGGCGAAGGCGAGUCUCUGGACAUUUCCUGACGCUGAGGCACGAAAGCCAGGGGAGCAAACGGG
rnacentral:rRNA from 1 species